rnacentral:rRNA from 1 species
UGGUUGUGGAUGGGCAUGCGUCUGAUUAGUUAGUUGGUGUGGUAACGGCACACCAAGGCGACGAUCAGUAGCGGGUCUGAGAGGAUGAUCCGCCACACUGGUACUGAGACACGGACCAGACUCCUACGGGAGGCAGCAGUAGGGAAUAUUGGGCAAUGGGCGAGAGCCUGGCCCAGCCAUGCCGCGUGCAGGAUGACGGCCUUCUGGGUUGUAAACUGCUUUUAUAAGGGAAGAAAAUGUUCCUGCGGGAAUAACUGACGGUACCUUAUGAAUAAGCACCGGCUAACUCCGUGCCAGCAGCCGCGGUAAUACGGAGGGUGCAAGCGUUGUCCGGAUUUAUUGGGUUUAAAGGGUGCGUAGGCGGAUUGUUAAGUCAGUGGUGAAAGUCUGCGGCUCAACCGUAGAAGUGCCAUUGAUACUGGCAAUCUUGAGUACAGUAGAGGUAGGCGGAAUUUAUGGUGUAGCGGUGAAAUGCAUAGAUACCAUAAAGAACACCUAUAGCGAAGGCAGCUUACUAUGCUGUAACUGACGCUGAGGCACGAAAGCGUGGGGAGCGAACAGGAUUAGAUACCCUGGUAGUCCACGCUGUAAACGAUGAUGACUCGCUGUUGGCGAUAAACAGUCAGUGGCCAAGCGAAAGCGUUAAGUCAUCCACCUGGGGAGUACGAUCGCAGAUUGAACUCAAGGAAUUGACGGGGUCCGCACAAGCGGUGGAGCAUGUGGUUU